AAGUGGGCUAGAGCAAGGAGGUAGCCUCCACGACUGCACACUUCUGCUGCUGGCCAAGUGACCCCCAGUUUAGGAGAUAUGACGUUUGGUGAGCACACGUCAGGACUGACCUGAUUGAGGUUUGAUACCAGAAGGCUGGAGAAGGGGUGCUGGCACAGAAAAGAUGCAACGAAGGAGACUCCCCAGAGACAGGGUCUCACUCUAUUGCCCAGGCUGAUCUCGCACUCCUAGGCUCAAGCAAUUCUCCUGCCUUGGCCUCCCAAAGUGAUGG
rnacentral:lncRNA from 1 species